GCGGCGACGAGGGCCGAUCGCCACGUGGCCGACGCGCACAGACGCCGACCGCCGGCGAGCGCGACUCUCGAUACGCGCGGCACGCCGAGGCCACGCCAUGUGCACCAGAUCGAGUCGCCGGCGGCGGUAACCAAGCGGCCGUCGCCUGUCGGUACCGGACGGGAGCCGACGCUUGCCGGCAGCGGCGUCGCCUAUGUGGCCUCGACCGUGGCGCCGUCGGCGAGCCAGAGGCGUCCGGGACCGCGCGCGGCCACCCGCCCAUGAGAUGGCCGGCAAAAUACAAAGCCCGGCGCGCUGCCCGUGUGAACCACACACACGCCCACCCCGUCGCCGGUACACGACUUCCACGUGCCCCAGUGCCAUGAGGCGCUCGCAGGCGCCGUGGUCAUCGCCACGCCGGCCUCGUGGGACGCCAGGUGGCGGUGCUCUUGAGACAAAGGAAAAGACGAUCGGCUGCGGACCUGGCGCGUCGUGGGUGCGCCUCGGUACACGAUGGCCAUGGGGCGCCGGCUGCAGUCGGCGACUGCGUCGUGGCCCCACACGCACGGCACGCGCGUCGACGUGCAACAGCGGUAGAGUGGCGCGCGUAGAUUGGACGCGCACGCCCAGCGCCAUCCGUGGACGCGCACCAACGACGGUGGAUGGUGCCGACAGCGCGGAUCGGGCGCGCGCUUGACCAGGUGGAGCGCGGCCAUCGCCGCGUUCUCGCCCCAAAGCGCGCAGUCGUCGAUGCGGGCCAAACAGGCCCCCGUCGGCGCGUGCGAUGGCCAGUCUCGCGCGUAUGCGCUGUGCCACACCGCUUCCAGUUCGAGUGCGUCGCGCACGACUGCACAGGUCUCGGCGAGGGCGCGCAAUUCCGCCGCGCGACACCACGAGGCGGUCUCCAAGAUCAUGUCGACGGGCAGCGCCUCAAAGGCGAUCACGGGGAUCGUCGUCGCCCGUCGGUCGGUUUGUUGGGGGGAGGCGUCGGGCGCCGGUGCGGUCCCUGUCGCCGUGCGGUGGCUCCCACUCGUGCCCAUCGCCGCACAGUCUUUCGUGCUCCUCUCUUUCCCCCUCGUUGUCCUCUCUUUCCUCCCCUCUUUGUCUGGCGUCCACCCUUCUGUCCGUGUGGACGCCUGCGCGCGCUCUCCUUUUCCCGCGUCCGGCCGGCGGUCUUUUGACCUCAUGAUAAAUUGCCAAAGACAACAGAAAGAACACGCAACAGUAAAGGCAAGGACAAUUUGGCCCGCCC
rnacentral:lncRNA from 1 species